rnacentral:rRNA from 1 species
GACGAACGCUGGCGGCGUGCUUAACACAUGCAAGUCGAACGGAAAGGCCCUGCUUGCAGGGUACUCGAGUGGCGAACGGGUGAGUAACACGUGGGUGAUCUGCCCUGCACUUCGGGAUAAGCCUGGGAAGCUGGGUCUAAUACCGGAUAGUAGCCAUUUUUAGUGUGAUGGUUGGAAAGUUUUUUCGGUGUAGGAUGAGCUCGCGGCCUAUCAGCUUGUUGGUGGGGUAAUGGCCUACCAAGGCGGCGACGGGUAGCCGGCCUGAGAGGGUGGACGGCCACAUUGGGACUGAGAUACGGCCCAGACUCCUACGGGAGGCAGCAGUGGGGAAUAUUGCACAAUGGGCGCAAGCCUGAUGCAGCGACGCCGCGUGGGGGAUGACGGCCUUCGGGUUGUAAACUCCUUUCGCUAGGGACGAAGCUUUUUGUGACGGUACCUAGAGAAGAAGCACCGGCUAACUACGUG